rnacentral:lncRNA from 1 species
UUCAUGAGAAGAAUGCUCAGGACAACUAGAUCAAGACUCAGAUCUGGGACAGGGAGACGGCAGAGCAGGGCAGGAAGGUCACUUACUUGAAAUACAGACUGGACGGGAUGGAAGCAAAGAGGCUGCCUGAGGGAUACAUUAGGCAGAAACCAAUGGCUGCAAGACCAGAGAUGUAGAACCCUCCAAGGAGAGAGUCUUUAGUAGAUCGAGAAACUGCUGAAACCUCUGUGAGUUACAGUGGCUCUGGCUGUACCAAGAAUGCAGACAAGGACAAGGUAAAUGCUGGGGCCAUUCUCAGUUGUAACUCUUUUGGGAAACCCUCAUCUUUAGGUACAGCACGCUCUCCCGGCCUUGUCUCGUUUUGCGUGUUGUGUGAUAUGUCUGUUUGUUCUUUGUUUUCGAAACACACACUCAUAACCCAGGAGCCCACAGCCUUCUCAAUUUUUAGUCUGUCAGCUUUCUGUGGUAAGUUUAGAAGCCAAAAGCGCUUAGAGACUGAGUACCUUAAGGUUUUUCCGUGAGUUUCAGGAAAUAAUGAGAGGAGGAUGACUGCACACUCCAAACAGAAGUCUCCUGGCCUGGGUGACCCCUUCCAGACCUCACCUCUGUGGGAACAGUGUGGCUUCUGUGUCUUCCUUUCUUAUUCGGUAGGAGAUGAACUGUUAGAAACGACCUCAGCACGUCCAACUUUAUAUUUUGUGCCCUGUGCCAUUUAGAGUGGUCCUAGAUAAAGUCAAUGUCAUCACUCAUCACCUUCCUGUCUUUGUUGGUAAAUUACUUGCCUGGAAUCCUCCAGCUAUACCUUAGGUAAAAAUAGUUUGAACACUGUGUCCUUCAAUUGUGUUUCUAUGAGCAGUUUUCUGUUGUGUCCCCAGUCACUGUUAGAGCUCAUACAGUCUCAUGACGCAUACCAGGAGUUUUAUACCAAAACACUUGCAUGAAAUCUGUUAUGUGAAUUUCUCCCUUUUUUUUUUCCGUUGCACAUAACUACUCUGUGUCCUGUAGUAUGCUUAACGUCAGAAUUCCCUAUGAAUUAAGAUGAACACAUCUGAGCUUUGUAGACAUUCACCACAAGUAACUCGUUCUUCACAGAAGACUCUCAUUCCCCUGCAGGAUUCCAGGCAUCCUCCACUCCCCAGAGGUCUCAGAGGCCUUUGACAACACUUCAAGAGGGAAGACUCCUUUCUCAGGGAGAAGAGCAGAGGAGGCAUAGAGAGGGUCCGGCUGCAGAACGUUUUGCCAGGAGUGGCUGUGAUUCCAUGAGCAGAAUAUGAGCCGUGUAUUCCCACUCAUUUUUUGUGUGUUCUUAAUAUAGCAAAAGCAGAGCAUCUGAAGUCGCUGUAGAGGAGGGAAGCAGGCUGAACCUGGACAUCGAUGGCUGCCUGUCUGGAGAAUGCUACUUCAUUAGUCUGUAAUUACUUCUGUUAACCCUCUAGGACAGGACCCUUGCCAUUUUACUUCCGCAGACAUGGGCAAUGAUGUGUGGUGGCAAUAGGUUAACCUCUUGCGUCUACUACCCCA